UACGUAGGGGGCAAGCGUUGUCCGGAAUCAUUGGGCGUAAAGAGCGUGUAGGCGGCCAGAUAAGUCCGCUGUGAAAUCUCGAGGCUCAACUUCGAGCUGUCGGUGGAAACUGUCUGGCUAGAGUCCGGAAGAGGAGAAUGGAAUUCCUGGUGUAGCGGUGAAAUGCGCAGAUAUCAGGAGGAACACCCGUGGCGAAGGCGGCUCUCUGGGACGGUACUGACGCUGAGACGCGAAAGCGUGGGGAGCGAACAGG
rnacentral:rRNA from 1 species